AUUGAACGCUGGCGGCAGGCCUAACACAUGCAAGUCGAGCGGAUGAAGGGAGCUUGCUCCUGGAUCCAGCGGCGGACGGGUGAGUAAUGCCUAGGAAUCUGCCUGGUAGUGGGGGAUAACGUCCGGAAACGGGCGCUAAUACCGCAUACGUCCUGAGGGAGAAAGUGGGGGAUCUUCGGACCUCACGCUAUCAGAUGAGCCUAGGUCGGAUUAGCUAGUUGGUGGGGUAAAGGCCUACCAAGGCGACGAUCCGUAACUGGUCUGAGAGGAUGAUCAGUCACACUGGAGCUGAGACACGGUCCAGACUCCUACGGGAGGCAGCAGUGGGGAAUAUUGGACAGUGGGCGAAAGCAUGAUCCAGCCAUGCCGCGUGUGUGAAGAAGGUCUUCGGAUUGUAAAGCACUUUAUGUUGGGAGGAAGCGCAGUAAGUUGAUACCUUGCUGUUUUGACGUUACCGACAGAAUAAGCACCGGCUAACUUCGUG
rnacentral:rRNA from 1 species